AUUCAAAAUCUUGUGAUGUAUAUUCUAUAAUCUUGUGAUGUAUGUUCGAAAUCUUGUGAUGUAUAUUCGAAAUCUUGUUAUGUAUAUUCUAUAAUCUUGUGAUGUAUAUUCGAAAUCUUGUGAUGUAUGUUCGAUAAUCUUGUGAUGUAUAUUCGAAAUCUUGUGAUGUGUGUUCUACAAUUCAGUGAUGCGUGCAAUAAAAUUGCAUGACGCAACAGAAAAGUAAGGACAAUUUUCAUUGGUUAGAAAUAACGAAAGUAGCUGAAGCGUCGGGAAAACCAUGCAGACGAGCUGAUCGCCAACCAGGAGAUCAGAAUGAUCGCAUCUGCUCCUGCCACUUUAAGGAUGGUAAGAAGGAGGGGGACCCUGCAUAUUUUGCAUGGAAUGAAGGAAAGGCCAUGGAUUUCUCUGAUCCUGAAUUUACAAAAAGGAGGAAAAAACUCAAAAGUGAGGAGUCCCUGUCAUCUUAAGAUGGACCAGUUGCAGAUUCCACAAGCACCAAAAUGUCAAUAUCAAGAAAAAUUGAUAUCAGAGCACAACUACUCAGCGUCCUGCACAUUUAACUGUACUCAAGAAAUGCAGCGCCUCUCAACAGAAAUACAACUGGAAAAGGAAUUGCUUGCCCUAAAAAUAGAGUCUAGUAAAAGGAAGCCAAUAUCAAUCCACGAUAUUAAAUACAACGAAGAGAAGGUAUCUGAUCAGCAGGGGCAUUUUCUCUACAUAAGAAGAAAAUGGAGACUCCCUACCCACCUGAUGUAUUUUGUCGGACAGUUUUCUGUACAUUGCAGUCACCAAUAUAUCCAAAUAUCAUCACCGGCCCAGACGUCAUUCACUCCUUUGAAUUGUGCUGGUAGCAGUAAGGUGUCAUCAUUUGAGAUGGUCACAGUAUCCAAUACACUGAAGUCACAGGACUCAAAUUUCAUACAUGUUCACAGUAAAGUACUGAGAGGGCCUAAGGUUUGUAUGGAGUUCUAUGGGAAAAUAAUUGGUGGUCUUUUCCCUAUACAAGAUGCUGUCUGAUGGCGUAGUGUAGAAUGUAGCGUAGAAUGUUUUCCAAGUCAGCUUAAAUGCAAAGGGUCUCUGCCAAAAUCUUUUGAGGAUUUUUCCUCUGCUAGAGCAUCCAUGGAUGCAAUUGAAACAACCCAGGACAUCCCAACACAUAUGGAUAAUCAGGCCAUGGCCUACAGUAUGUACAAAAGUUGCCAUACUUUUAAAGCAGUAACUUGCGCGCUUCCAAAUGGUGCACUUACAUUUUGCUCCAUGCUGUACCCAGGUUCUACUUCUGAUGUAGCUAUUGUACGUCACAGCCAAGUUUUACGAAAGUUCAAAGCUGGAGACCUUAUUUUGGUGGUCAAAGGUUUCACCAUUCAUGACCAGUUGCCCCAGGGUGUCUGCUUAAUUAUAAAAGCUCUUUUAUCGACACGAGGCCAGUUUACCAUACAAGAAGCAGCACUGUGUUACAAGAUUGCUAAAGCACUUAUUCAUGUGGAAAGAGCCAACGAGAGGAUAAAGAAUUAUAUUCUCCGUCACAUACCAUCUACUUACAGACCAAUCUCAACAAAAAUAUUUCAACUCUGUUCUUGUCUUGUAAACUUGCAAGCUCCACUUUUGAAAGAAAUUACUUAAAGAUACAUGUACUUAUUAUAAAUUUGCAUUGGCGUGUGACAGUAUACACUAAACAGUGAAGAUAUUCAUACCAAAGUGCAAGGGAUAAGCAAAUUUUGAUUUGUUAUCAAUGUCAAUGGUUAUAUUUGUUAACUUUGUAGUA